UGAGGAAUAUUGGUCAAUGGGCGAGAGCCUGAACCAGCCAAGUAGCGUGCAGGAUGACGGCCCUAUGGGUUGUAAACUGCUUUUAUAUGGGAAUAAAGUGAGGGACGUGUCCCUUAUUGCAUGUACCAUACGAAUAAGGACCGGCUAAUUCCGUGCCAGCAGCCGCGGUAAUACGGAAGGUCCAGGCGUUAUCCGGAUUUAUUGGGUUUAAAGGGAGCGUAGGCUGUUUGUUAAGCGUGUUGUGAAAUGUAAGAGCUCAACUUUUAGAUUGCAGCGCGAACUGGCAGACUUGAGUGCGCACAACGUAGGCGGAAUUCAUGGUAUAGCGGUGAAAUGCUUAGAUAUCAUGACGAACUCCGAUUGCGAAGGCAGCUUACGGGAGCGCAACUGACGCUAAAGCUCGAAGGUGCGGGUAUCAAACAGG
rnacentral:rRNA from 1 species